AAAACAGCACAGCUAGCCUUUACACCUAGAUCCUCAUGCAAAGUCCUAUGUUGUUUUGUUUGAGCUUAUAUACCUCAUUGUUACUUAUUUUACCCCAUUCUUUAUUUACUUCAUUUUCUUAACUUUACAUGUUCCUGUUAUAUUUCCCUCAUUAGACUCUAAGCUCCUUGAAGUUGUUUGUUUCCUUUAAGGAAGACCAUGUGGGGUGAGCACAGUGUCUUAUUCUUUGCAGGUAUACAGUAUGCAUAUUAGUUUAAUGAGUAAAUAAUGAGGGAAUAGGAGAUGUAAGGACUAAAGAAAGAGAGAAAUAAUAGAAUUAAUAAGCACAUAAUGAUGUCAUUUUGGAUGGUUUCCAUUUUCUAGGGCAAAUUAAUGUAUGUUAAAGGGUAAAGGAAAGCCCAUCUGAGAUACUCAUUUAGCCGAGGACAUAUAAUAAAGAAAGAGGAGAAAAAGAUACUGAGCUGUAUUGA
rnacentral:lncRNA from 1 species